UAGGAAGACCAGCCUUGUUUCCAGCUUCUGGUUUAUCAAACACUUUUGGGUUCAAGGUUCAGGACAAGCAAGGGAGAAUGCAAAGAUUUAACUGUGAAAUGAGCAGCUUGACAGACCUGAUAACUAGCAUUCUUCAGAGGGUCGGCGAUGACAUUGACAGAAAACACCUGCCACAAAUUUCGUAUGAAGAUGAGGACCAUGAUAAGGUCAUAUUGUCGUCGGACAGUGACCUUAUAGCUGCCAUAGACCACACAA